AACCGGGCGCGGCACUCCUCGGCCCCCGAGACCCUCCCUGCGCGGAACUCUCGGCCUCCAGGAGCUCGGCGUCGGAGGGCUCGGGCGGCCGUCUCCCACACCGCAAGCCUGCGCAGGGGUCCCCGCCUUCAUCCCUUAAGCUAAAUCAGGGUUUUGCGCGCGGGGGUGGGGCAGCCCGUCUCCCAGAUACUGAAAUUGCGUUGGCGCCCUCCUUUAAGGCGAGGCACAGGGCACUGGGAGGGACGGCCUCUAGGGCGGCUCCUACCCUCCGCCCCGCUUACACCCACCCGUCCCACCCCUCGCGGUUUGCCCCAGGGGCAGGGACUCUGACCUCAGGCUCUCGGGAUGCGACCUGGGCAGUCCCUGGCCUUCGCUCUCUUAACGAGUCGCGUGGGCUGACAUAAAAGGCGCGAGAGGGCUUUUCUCCAUCUCCAGUAAGGAUAGAGCCCCUCUGCAGCUACCGAUUUGGGAAAUACCUGAGGUUUUUUCCACUUGCACAUAAAGGCUGUUCUAGCCCUGAAGCUGGCUAGUAACGACGCUGUAGUCCCAGCUACUCCGGAGGCUGAGAUGCUGUUCCCUUUGCCUGGAAUACUUGACCUUCUCAAGCGGGUAUCUCCUAGUCAUCCUUAUUAUUUCAGAUCAAGCAUCCUUUCCUACGUGACCUCUCUGAUUACAUUUGAUUUAAUUUGUAUUAUAACUCUCUCUUCCUUUCUUCGCCAUCGUGGUGUGUGCUUGACUCCACUUCUCGCCACGGUUUCUCACAACUUUCAGGAUUAAGCGAUUCCUGGCAAAGAAACAAAAGCAAAAUUAUCCCAUUCCCCAGUAGAUUCGGAUGAAAAUUGGAAAUAAAAUCAGGGACAACUCCAAAAGGAGACAUUGGAGAAGAACCAAGCUGGGUCUGUAAGGAAUUACACUGAGAUGGCACACGUAUUUAUGCUGUCUCAAGGUCAUGACCAUGUUGCCAUGUCAAGCUGAAAAUGUCACCACUAUCUGGAGAGUUGGUCAUGUUUUAUUGGGAAUAUUUUUUUUUCUCUCUGAAUCUAUUAUGAACGUGCUGGUUGACUGGGUCCAGUAAUAAAUAUGUGAGACCUUUCAUUUCAAAAUAUAAAAAUAAUAAUAA